AUGUACAUAUUGUACUCGGUGUAUUAUUCGGUCUUUAGACGAACAUUAUGGAAAACGAGAGUUGCGGAUUUAACGGGUUCGUAUACGCCUAGAAACCUACUCACUAGCAAAACCCUAACUAUUUAAGAAAACUCUACCCUUACCCACCCCUAUUUUGUAACUACACAAAACACAUCUUUGUGUGUAGAUAUUGGAGAGAUCGAGAGAGAGAUAUGGAGAUCAAGAGAGGAGCCGGUUAAACCUCAGCAUCCUAGCAUCCUCUGGUAGUAUCCGAUGACCGACGACCGACGACCGGCCGUGGGUGGCCCCACGCGGCGGCGCAAGGCGGCAACAGUGGCCGCGUGACCUUCUUCGAUGAAAUCAACGACGGUCCAGGGACCAGCGGCGCACAACCACGAGGAGGCAGCCCCCUUCCUUUCCCUGCGAUCGGUGGUGGCGGGUGUGGUGCUGGGGCUGUGUUCAGGCAACAGAAGAGAGAAACGAGAGGGGGUGAUGUUGGUGGGCGAUGACAAGGGAUGUGCGGCGGCGCGACCUCCCGGCGGACUGGUGGUUCCAAAGAAACUCCGGUAGAUCGGUAGUGGCUGAGGUGGUUGUUUUCAGGGGUGAAGGUGGCCGCUGGCGGCGGAGAUAACGUUUGACCACCGGAUGAGCAUGGUGGACGGUGGUGGUCACUCGGUUUCGAUGUUGGGUGGCUUUUGUGUCACGAGUUAGGCUGGUCAACCGUACAGAUCUGGUCAAACUUCGGGUCAGGUCGACUCUCGGUCAAUAAAAGUCAACGAUGGUCAAAGUCUUAGUCAGCUGGUCGUAUUUGAGUGGCACGCUUAUCGAGGAAACCUUUUUCGUGUCGGUCUUGAGCGGUUAAUUCGAGUAGGUAACGACGCGCAUCUGUGUAUUUGAAAUUUGAAUACAUUAUCUUAUAUUUUGUUUAACGUGUGAAAAGCCGAGCUCUAGAACCCGACCCUACUAAGUGAAACUGUUGUGUAAUAUAUACAUAUUGUAUUCACGUGAUGCUUGAACAUUUGGAAUUGUAUGGAUGUCUUGGUGAUUAUUUGCAUGUUAUGCCGGUUCGUGUCGUUGAUACAAUACUUUUGGAUAUAACACGCACCCUAGUCUAUUGUGCAGGUUAAUUUCGCUUGAAGUAAUUCCGUUUGAAAGCACUAAUUUCGUUUGAAAGUGUUUGUAUUGAGAACUUUGUUACGGAAUCAUGGAAGAAGAAUUCUACAACGCAUUGCCACAUCCCCGACUACUCCAGCUACCAUUGCUCAAAGCAUGAACAUGGAAAACGAAACCGGAACUUUACAAAAACCCCCGAAACUUAUGGGCAUUGAGGAGUAUUAUGGGUGGAAAGACCGUUUCGAAAACUGGGUGCAAGAUAAUCAUUUGAGAUCUUGGGAAUGCAUCGAGAAGAAAUAUAUUAAACCGCGUACAGAUUUGCAAGUUAUCAAAACAAUUUCCGAGCUGAAUGAUAAAGAAAGAAAUAUGUACAAAGCUGAAAAGAUGAUGAUUACUUUGUUAUAGCAAGCUAUUAAAGAAGACAUCUUUAUUUGCUUCAACAUGAUGGUACAUUACGAUCGAUCUGGGAUGCGCUUAAGGUUAAGUUUGAAGGAAGUGAGAAGAUGAUCAUGAGCAAGAAAGCAUUGCUAAAGAAAGAGUUUGAUCUAUUUUCAAGUUUAUCGGGAGAAUCGUCAAAGAAACUGAUUGAAAGAUAUUGUCACUUAGUGCGAUCUAUGUCUUUGUUAGGAAUUGAGAAAAGUCAAGAUGAAUGGGUCGACAAGUUAGCUGAUGCUUUACCUCAGAAAGAGUGGGGUACUUAUUUG
rnacentral:lncRNA from 1 species